rnacentral:rRNA from 1 species
CAGCCGCCGCGGGAAUACGUAGGUGGCAAGCGUUGUCCGGAAUUAUUGGGCGUAAAGCGAGCGCAGGCGGAUAGGUCAGUCUGUCUUAAAAGUUCGGGGCUUAACCCCGUGAUGGGAUGGAAACUGCCAAUCUAGAGUAUCGGAGAGGAAAGUGGAAUCCCUAGUGUAGCGGUGAAAUGCGUAGAUAUUAGGAAGAACACCAGUGGCGAAGGCGACUUUCUGGACGAAAACUGACGCUGAGGCGCGAAAGCCAGGGGAGCGAACGGGAUUAGAGACCCCCGUAGUCCCUGUCUCUUAUACA